CUUCUCCCCUAACCCUAGAUGAAUCCAGCUAUAUUUCUCCUUUCUCCUCUCACUAUAUUGGAUCUUGAUGCAGGUGCAUGUUGGUCCAAGCAUGGAGAAGGUUGAGCUAUCCUCAGAUCUGAAGUUCUUGAGCAAAAUCCAAAUCGAGUGAUUCAAAGUUCCGCAGAUAGGUGUUGAAAAGAUCUACAACUUGGCGUUGGUCUCAUCCUCAAAUUCGUUACGGAUUUUGCAUGAUCAAGAUCUGGUCAGAUCUGACUUUGUCGAAUUAAACCUGGAGUUUGGAAACGAAUUUUUGAAUGAAACCAACUGGGUAAGAACCACAUAUUCAAUACCUUUCAGCUGCAGCAGACCUCAUAUUUUUGUGAUUUGUGUAUGAUUUUUGGUGAAUUAAACUUGUUCUGUGUGUUCUGCAGACAUGGCUGUUAGCUUUUAAAUCACCAAAAAUCCAUUUUUGAACCUAAUUGAGUGAUUCCAAUUUUGUAGGACUGCUGAAUGUUUUCUUAAUCAUCUCAAAUAAGUUUCAAACAUUUAUCUAUUGUGUAAAUCCAGAGAGAAAGCAAAUGGUAUA